UACAGAGGGGGCAAGCGUUAUUCGGAAUUAUUGGGCGUAAAGGGCGCGUAGGCGGCCUUGCAAGUGACGGGUGAAAUCCCUCGGCUUAACCGAGGAACUGCCUGUCAGACUGCAUGGCUUGAGACCGGGAGAGGUGAGUGGAAUUCCCAGUGUAGCGGUGAAAUGCGUAGAUAUUGGGAGGAACACCAGUGGCGAAGGCGGCUCACUGGACCGGUACUGACGCUGAGGCGCGAAAGCGUGGGGAGCAAACGGG
rnacentral:rRNA from 1 species